GAUGAACGCUGGCGGCGUGCUUAACACAUGCAAGUCGAACGGAAAGGCCCAAGCUUGCUUGGGUACUCGAGUGGCGAACGGGUGAGUAACACGUGGGUGAUCUGCCCUGCACUUCGGGAUAAGCCUGGGAAACUGGGUCUAAUACCGGAUAGGACCACUUCUUGGAUGUUGUGGUGGAAAGUUUUUUCGGUGUGGGAUGGGCUCGCGGCCUAUCAGCUUGUGGGUGGGGUAAUGGCCUACCAAGGCGUCGACGGGUAGCCGGCCUGAGAGGGUGUACGGCCACAGUGGGACUUAGAUACGGCCCAGACUCCUACGGGAGGCAGCAGUGGGGAAUAUUGCACAAUGGGCGCAAGCCUGAUGCAGCGACGCCGCGUGGGGGAUGACGGCCUUCGGGUUGUAAACUCCUUUCGCUAGGGACGAAGCGUUUUGUGACGGUACCUGGAGAAGAAGCACCGGCUAACUACGUG
rnacentral:rRNA from 1 species